AUCUUAAAAAAAAAAAGAAAAAAGCAAGCCUGACCUUCCCUGCAGAGCUUCAAGGGGCUUCAGUGAAGUGGCUCCAACUGCGGGAAAACCUUGCCAGGAAGUGGAAGGGACCUGGCCUUGACUCAGAAACGAUGCCUGAGCACAGCAAAGGAGGAAACACUCUCCAACUCAAUUUACAAGACUUCCAAAAUGUUGAGACCUCAACAGGGGCAAGUAGGAGAAUUACUGGCCAGUAAGACUUACGAUCAUGGAUGCAAAAAUUCUAUACAAUGUAUUGGCAAACUAACUCCAGCAACAUUCAAAAGGGAAUAUGGAGCAACUAGAACUACUGUACCCUGGGGUAAGAGCGGAAAGCAGCCAGUAUUACUUUGUAACACCGACCGCGUGGGCACACUCUAGGACCUCAGGCUUCACUGGUAUGGACGCUGUGUUAGUUUUCUAGUGCUGUGUAACAAAACCCACCAGAAAUACAGCAGCUUAAAAUAUCACACACUGCUUAGCUCACAGCUCUAUAGGUCAGAAGUCAGAUGGGCUGGACUGGGUUCUCCGCUUAAAGCUCUCCCAAGGCCAAAGUCAAGGUGUCAGCUGGGCUGGGCUCUUGUCUUCCAAGCUCAUUCAGGUUGUUGGCAGGAGUCAGUUCCCUGUGGUUGUAAUGCUGAGGUCUUGUUUCUUGUUUGCCAUCAGCGGUGGGAGGGACCACUCACACGACCUGGAGCCCUCUCUUUGGCCAGCAAGACCACACCAUGUUCCUCUGCUUUGCAUUUCUCUGAUUUCUUCAGCAAGCAGUCAGAGAAAACUCUGCUUUAAGCCCUGUAGAGGUUCCUUUGAUUAGGUUAGGCACCCUGGGAUGAGCUGCCUUUUGAUUAAUUCAGAGACAAUUGAUUAGUAACCUUCAUUACAUAUGCAGAAUCUCUUUUGCUAUUACUUAACAUAAUCAUGGGUUUACGACCUCCUGACUGUCACAGUCCCAGGGAAUAGGGUGGGAAAUCUGGAAGGUAUUUUAGAGUUUCCCCUGCCCCAUAUGUGUCUAUGAGAAACUAUUCCACAUGUGUACUAAGAACCAAACAUAAGAAUUUUCAUAAUAACCCCCGAAUGAAUACUCGCCCAUGUUUAUUGCCAUUAGAUGAGUAAAUUAAGAUAUAAUCAGAAGAUGAAAUUCUGUGGAGCAGCAGAAAUAAGUGAACUGCAGCCACAUUCAUCAACUGGGAUGAACCUCACACAUGAUGUGUGAAAAAAGAAAUUUGUCACAAAAGAAUGUGUAUAGUUUGGCUCCUUGCAUAUAACAUACAGAUAGAAGCAAAACGAGACUAUUGUGUGGCAAAAUCUAGUGAAUAGUGAUUACCUAAAAUGUGGUAAAACUAUUCAAAAGAGAAUGAAAGGGUUCUUACAAAAAUCAGGAUGCAGCGACUUCACAUACCUCUCAGUUUGGGAAAGAGGAUGCAUGAGGGAGAGGAAUGCAAGAAUUUUCUAAGUUAUUCUGAUGUUCUACUUCAUAACCUGGGUCACGGUUGUAUAUGUUUGCUUUGUAAUUAUUUAUAGUGUAGGCGUAUAUUUUAUACACUCUUCUAUAGUAUGAAAUAUUUCACAUUAAAUUUUUUUAAAGGGCAAAUUUUCUUUUUCUUAGAAGUGAAGGAGGGGAGAGAGAGGGUCUUAAGCAGGCUCCACACCCAGUGCAGAGCCCGAUGCGGGGCUUGAUCUCAUGACCCUAAGAUCAUGACCUGAGCCCAAAUCAGGAGUUGGACACUUAACCAACUGCACCACCCAGGUGCCCUUAACGGUGAAUUUUCAAUGAAAUCUUCUGAAACCAGGAGGCUUUCACAAAACAAUGGUCCUGAAGGAAAGGAUCUCCAGUUUCACAUCACUGCUCUCCACUGCUCUGCGAUCAUAUCUUGCCUAUCAGACAGCACUCCUGAUGGGCUCUGGCAACUGCCCAUACACAGUGGCAGAAAUAGUUUUACUGUUCCAGGAGAAAAGGGGAGACAGUGAGGGUGCCCUGAGAUGGCAGCAAAGGGAUUUAGGUUAGAUUUGCUUCACCUAUUCAUUUUGUAAAAUCAGUAGCACUGGCAACAAUUGUAAUAAAUCUGUAGGAAGUGUACUGGCCUUUCCUGUUUGUCAUUGCAAACCGAAGACCCCCUCCUCUUCAUCUCCUUUUACUGGCCCCCCAUCAUGAGGCAGAGAGAGAGCGCAAGCUCUCAUUUGGAAUUUUCCUUGAAAUACCAGAUCCCUAUAAAAAUGAAACAAACAGAAGUGAACGGGAGGAGGGCCAUGCCUAACCACUGGUCAUUAUACUCACUUAAGUCGUCGUAAUUUCUUUUGGCCCUAACCUCUAUUUCCAUGUCUCAGGUAAGCACUAAGAAGACUUUUCCGCAUAUGGGGUCUCUGUGGCACUGGACCUUGUGGCCAAAGUUGGAACCUCCUUUGUUCUCCGAGGGUGCACUUUGGAUGCUCCUACUGGAAAUUUGGCCAAGGGCCCUCAGUAUACUACUGUUCGGGGAGAUAAAAUCCAUGCAAUUAUGUCUCAAUUGAGUCAUCUCCUUGUAUAAAGGGGUUCGCCGUUAUUUUAUAGAAUGAAUGUAUUGCUUUGAAAAGAGCGCCGUGUGAGGAAAUGAUUAACUAUCGAGUAAGUAACAUUUAAAUGUGUUCUAGUAACAGAGUUUAUCAGUUAUUUUCCCCCAGACACUGGACAAGCGUCAGGCCUGUGGACCCCAGGGCCUGACCCAGCGGCUAGCAGGGACUCGUUGGGCCGUGCCGAGGGAAAUGAGCAUUAGGCCAAGCAUCCAGGCUCUGAUUCGUGUUUUGUCCAGACUACACUUUCAGGAUGGCCGGAUCAAGAGACUUGUCUUCUAGCAUGUUAUUUUGUAAAUUUUGAAUGAAAAGAAAAUAACAAUUUUCUUCUUUUUUUUUUAUUACGUUCAGUUAGCCAACAUGUAGUACAUCAUUAGUUUUCGAUGUAGUGAUCAACCAUUCAUCAGUUGCGUAUAACACCCAGUGCUCAUCACGUCACGUGCCCUCCUUACACCCAUCACCGGUCACCCAUCCCCCCACCCCCCUCCCCUCUGUAAUCCUCAGUUGUCUCCUGCAGCAUGCAGGAAGGCCAUAAAGCCCCCAGGUUUGAGUUUAUGGUACUAAGAUCUUAAAGACUUGAGAUUCUGUUUGCAUCAGAAAGGAAAAGUUGAGUUCUGCUAGUUACUGUGCAAGAGGACAGCACACAUCUUUUCCCAUAAAAUGGGUUUAUUAAAUGAAAUGUGUAUACACUGGGUGAGGUGGGAUGGCCCGUCAAGCAAAUUAGAGAUAGCCUGUACUAUUAGACUCCAGAACCUUGCAUUAGGCCUAAAGAGGGUAUUAAAACCACAAAACUGCCCCUUGAUGAUUGUAAAAGCAAAUUCCUGUUGUCAUGAGUUAAAAACGAACAGACAAGCACCUGUCUGUAGAGGUCACUCCUCAUGUUUUCAACCACAGAUUUCCAUAAAAUGAAAACAUGAGAAUCAAAAUUUAAGGCAAUGUGUAGUCAGUGUGCUUUUUUUUUUUGGUCUUUUUGUCUGUUUGUCUUUUUGUUUAGUUUCAUGUUCUGAAAUGAGCCUGCCGGCCUCCCAGGCCUAUGGGUCUCAGAUUCUCUCCUCAGAAGCACAGGUGAAGGGCCUAGCUCCUGCCUCCUGCUGAGGCUUGUGGCUCCUCCUGGGCUGUCCGAGAAAUGCCCAGGAAUCAGUACCUGUGCGGCUCCACAGCGCCUGUGGGACCAACAUGCAAUUGCAUCAGUGAGUAAACUUCCUAUAGUGUAUAGAGAGUGUGCCUUCUUCCCUGCCCUCCUUCUUCUGGCUUGUUUUUUGUUUUUGUUUUUGUUUUUUUAAAGGAGGCUCCGCACCCAGUGUGGGGCUUGAACUCACGACCCUGCAAUCAGGAAUCUCACGCUCCACCGACUAAGCCAGCCCUGCGCUCCAUCUCAUGCUCCGGCUUCGAUUCAUAAAGACAAGAGUGUAGUGGCUGAAUCUUCGGAAUCUUUUUAUCACAAAAAUGGCUUCUAGCCAGCCAGCGGCUCAGGGAGCCCACGGCAGGGGAUGUGACCGCACGAGUGCGUUCCACGGCUGAGGGAAGUGUGUGGGGCCUGCAGGCCGUGGGAGGUCAUGCUAUUCCAGGUAAGCAGAUCUAGACUCAAAUCCUUCUUCAUUUAUGCAUCCUCUCAGCAAACAUCUGAGUGCCUCCUACAGGCCGGGUUCUGUUCCAGGCAUUCAUGCUUUGUCCGUAGACAGACAAUUCCUUGACUUUCUAGAGCUUGCAAACUAGCAGAGGGAGCGUGUCCGAGACAAAGCGAGUAAGUCCCGCAUUUUGUGUUCGUUGAUUCCGGGAAGUACAGUGUUUCGCUUGAGCCGCUCUGAAGUGGAGAUGCCUUCUGCGAUCACUAGUAUGCUCGAAUUUCUGUGGGCUGGGCAGCGGCCUCUAACUCUUUGUCAUUGCCUAUGGGUCUGCAAGCCUGCGGAGAGCUGUUCCAAUUGUUGCUCCUGCGGUGCGUUACCCACGGUGCUGGUGCAAGUAGGACUUCAUUCAUCAUUUAGCAUGUCUUCAAAAAAGAUUCCAUGAUGACUUAGCAUUAAAAUAGAAAGUUAUCAUGUCCCCAGAAAGGUGAGGAAACCAAGAAGCAAAUAUUCAUUCCCGGAAGAAGGACCACAAUUCCAUAUUUCCUAAUAAACAAGCAGCAGGGUUUGACACCAUAAGAAGGGAGGGUGGUACCCGCAAGUGAGGAGAAGCUGUGUCGUGCCUUAUUAGCGAGCUAUAUUUGCAGAAGGACUGACUCACAUGCCAAGGAAUUCAACUGAAGGCAGGAAAAGUCUCUUAAAACCUCUGAAUUGCUAACGGAAACUUGAGAGGUUUGACCUCACGUGAAGGCCAUGACUCACUGGCGAGUCUUAGUGACAUGCGACAUCAUGGCAUGCCUUGAAAUUCAUGCUGUCUUAGCUGAAAUCAGAUACCCCCUUGGAAGGGGGUCAGGAAGGGUGAACAGACGGUGCACAGAGGAUUGUUAGGGCAGUGAAACUACUCUAUAGGACACUACAAUGGUGGGUCCAUGUUGUUAGACAUUUAUCCAAAUCCACGGACUAUGAAAGACCAAGAGAGACCUUGAGGUAAACAAAUAAUGUGUUGGUGUGGGUCCAUCAGUCAUGACAAAGAUCCCACUCUGGUGGGGAGGUGUUGAUAGUGGGGGAGGCUGUGCAUGUGGGGGCAGGAGGUAGAUGGGAAGUCUCUGUACUUAACCUUCAAUUUUGCUGUGAGCCUAAAACUGCUCUAAAAAACAAAGUCUAUUAGAAGUAAAAGAAAAAAGCAGUAUGAAAAAGGCCCUACCAAUAUUAAUUAUAAUCUUAAAAUUAAAAUUCUAUAUUAUUCCAACAAAGCCUAAGGGCCAGGGGCCAUUAAGAAGAGGAGGGGUUCUAAGAAGUUGUGAAGUUCUCAUCUGGUUUGACUCGGAGACGUUAGAAAUACUAUUUAAUUAUUGAUGUUGCUAGGAAAAUAUAGUUUAAUUGAGUUAGUUAAAAACUGAAGUAAAACUAGUAGAUAGAAAUAGAAUGUAAGAGUGCAGAAAAAAACAAAGAAAAAAACCUAAUGAAUCCAG